UACGUAGGGGGCAAGCGUUGUCCGGAUUUAUUGGGCGUAAAGAGCGUGUAGGCGGCCAGGUAGGUCUGCUGUGAAAACUCGAGGCUCAACCUCGAGAUGUCGGCGGAAACCAUCUGGCUAGAGUCCGGAAGAGGAGAGUGGAAUUCCUGGUGUAGCGGUGAAAUGCGCAGAUAUCAGGAGGAACACCCGGUGGCGAAGGCGGGCUC
rnacentral:rRNA from 1 species